AUAUUCUGCCCCACGGGAAAGGAUGAGAAGCUUCGACUAAGGUUCGACUCGAGCGUAGCGAGAGAACGUUGCCGCAGGCAACGGCCCGAAGGGCGAGGCGCUUUAGCGCCGAGUUAUCCUUCCCCCACCACCA
rnacentral:sRNA from 1 species